rnacentral:rRNA from 1 species
UACGGAGGGUGCAAGCGUUAAUCGGAAUUACUGGGCGUAAAGCGUGCGCAGGCGGUUUGUUAAGUCUGUUGUGAAAUCCCCGAGCUCAACUUGGGAAUUGCAAUGGAUACUGGCAGGCUGGAGUAUGGUAGAGGAAGGUGGAAUUCCCGGUGUAGCAGUGAAAUGCGUAGAGAUCGGGAGGAACACCAGUGGCGAAGGCGGCCCGCUGGGCAGUGGCUGACGCUGAGGCGCGACAGCGCGGGGAGCAAACAGG